rnacentral:lncRNA from 1 species
GCAUUGCUUGAUUUCUAAAUGAAUCCCAGCUGUAGAAAUGCUGUUCUUGAGCCAACAGGUUGUUGCUGUAGCCUGGAUCCACAGUCAAGGAAGGCUGGUGAGAGCAGUGGGCAAAACCAGAUUUUUCUGUGAAAUACCUGUGUGGAGGUCAAGACAAGCUCUGGGGCUGGAUUUAAACCCUCAACCUAGAGGACGCCUUCAGAGUGUACAACGUGGUUGGGCUCCUGUCUGGAUUAUUCCUGGGAAGGUAACAGUGGUCUGCCAGUGUAGCACGGCUGGUUUUUAAUUCAUACAGCAAGUGGUGAGGAAGAUACUUUUAAUUUUGGAAACCACUAUACAAGAGGGAUUGGUAACUUCUGAAACCAGUACACUACAUAAUCUUGGUUCAGGCUGUUUACUUUUUCUUUUGUUUUGCUUCUCCA